rnacentral:rRNA from 1 species
UACGAAGGGGGCUAGCGUUGCUCGGAAUUACUGGGCGUAAAGCGCACGUAGGCGGACUUUUAAGUCAGGGGUGAAAUCCCGGGGCUCAACCUCGGAACUGCCUUUGAUACUGGAAGUCUUGAGUAUGGAAGAGGUAAGUGGAAUUGCGAGUGUAGAGGUGAAAUUCGUAGAUAUUCGCAGGAACACCAGUGGCGAAGGCGGCUUACUGGUCCAUUACUGACGCUGAGGUGCGAAAGCGUGGGGAGCAAACAGG